UUGAUCCUGGCUCAGAACGAACGCUGGCGGCGUGCUUACACAUGCAAGUCGAACGGGAAACGUUCCUUCGGGAACCGAGUACAGUGGCGCACGGGUGAGUAACACGUAGGUGACCUACUUAUCGCUGGGGAACAACCCCGGGAAACCGGAGCUAAUUCCGCAUACGCUUUCCAACUCGCGGGUUGGAAAGGAAAGAUGGCCUCUUCAUGAAAGCUAUCGGCGAAUGAUGGGCCUGCGCGUCAUUAGCUUGUUGGUGAGGUAACGGCUCACCAAGGCUGCGAUGACUAGCUGGUCUGAGAGGAUGAUCAGCCACACUGGCACUGGAACACGGGCCAGACUCCUACGGGAGGCAGCAGUGGGGAAUAUUGCGCAAUGGGCGAAAGCCUGACGCAGCAACGCCGCGUGAGUGACGAAGGCCUUCGGGUCGUAAAGCUCUGUCGAGAGGGACGAAACACCGGUGGGAACAAUACCUCGCCGGUUUGACGGUACCUCCAAAGGAAGCACCGGCUAACUCCGUGCCAGCAGCCGCGGUAAUACGGAGGGUGCAAGCGUUGUUCGGAAUUACUGGGCGUAAAGGGCGUGUAGGCGGAUCAAGAAGUCGGGUGUGAAAGCCCUGGGCUCAACCCAGGAAGUGCGCCCGAAACCAUUGGUCUUGAGUUCCAGAGGGGAGCGGGGAAUUCCCAGUGUAGAGGUGAAAUUCGUAGAUCUUGGGAAGAACACCGGUGCCGAAGGGGCCGCUCUGGAUGGAUACUGACGCUGAGGCGCGAAAGCGUGGGGAGCAAACAGGAUUAGAUACCCUGGUAGUCCACGCUGUAAACGAUGUGCACUAGGUGUCGGGGGUAUUGACCCCCCCGGUGCCGCCGCUAACGCAUUAA
rnacentral:rRNA from 1 species